GCGAAGACCUUACCUAGGCUUGACAUAUAGAGAAUCUCUUAAGAGAUAAGAGGUCCGAAAGGGCUCUAUACAGGUGGUGCAUGGUUGUCGUCAGCUCGUGUCGUGAGAUGUUGGGUUAAGUCCCGCAACGAGCGCAACCCUCGUCCUAUGUUGCCAGCAUUCAGUUGGGGACUCAUAGGAGACUGCCGGGGUCAACUCGGAGGAAGGUGGGGAUGACGUCAAAUCAUCAUGCCUCUUAUGCCUAGGGCUGCACGCAUGCUACAAUGGCCGAUACAAAGGGCUGCGAUACCGUAAGGUGGAGCGAAUCCCAUAAAGUCGGUCUCAGUUCGGAUUGGGGUCUGCAACUCGACCCCAUGAAGUUGGAGUUGCUAGUAAUCGCAGAUCAGCAACGCUGCGGUGAAUACGUUCCCGGGCCUUGUACACACCGCCCGUCACGUCACGAAAGUCGGUAACACCCGAAGCCGGUGGCCUAACCGUAAGGAAGGAGCCGUCGAAGGUGGGAUCGGUGAUUGGGACGAAGUCGUAACAAGGUAACCGUA
rnacentral:rRNA from 1 species